GCUUCUUGCCCUGAACAAGUCUGCGCCAAGGGAGAGGAGGCUCCCCAAAGUCCUGACUGGCUUGGAGGGGAGCAGUUCCAGCGCAUCGCCCGGUGACUUCGUGACAGGCAUGGAGGAGGGACAUG